CGGUCGAUGAUGACGAGACCAUUGCUCAAUCUCAGUUCUUGGGAACCAAGUGAUGGAGUGUGUUCUGAGAACAAACGAAAG